rnacentral:rRNA from 1 species
UACGUAGGGUGCAAGCGUUAUCCGGAAUUAUUGGGCGUAAAGAGCUCGUAGGUGGUUUGUCGCGUCUGCUGUGAAAACCCGAGGCUCAACCUCGGGCCUGCAGUGGGUACGGGCAGACUAGAGUGUGGUAGGGGAGACUGGAAUUCCUGGUGUAGCGGUGAAAUGCGCAGGUAUCAGGAGGAACACCGGUGGCGAAGGCGGCAUCCUGGACCGACAUUGACGCUGAGGGCGCGAAAGCCAGGGGAGCAAAGCGGG